GACGAACGCUGGCGGCGUGCUUAACACAUGCAAGUCGAACGGUGAAGGGACUGGUUUUGCUGGUCCUGGAUGAGUGGCGAACGGGUGAGUAACACGUGAGUAACCUGCCCCCUUCUUCUGGAUAACCGCAUGAAAGUGUGGCUAAUACGGGAUAUUCUGGGUCUGUCGCAUGGUGGGCCUGGGAAAGGUUUUUUCCGGUGGGGGAUGGGCUCGCGGCCUAUCAGCUUGUUGGUGGGGUGAUGGCCUACCAAGGCGGUGACGGGUAGCCGGCCUGAGAGGGUGGACGGUCACACUGGGACUGAGACACGGCCCAGACUCCUACGGGAGGCAGCAGUGGGGAAUAUUGCACAAUGGGCGCAAGCCUGAUGCAGCGACGCCGCGUGAGGGAUGGAGGCCUUCGGGUUGCGAACCUCUUUCGCCAGUGAAGCAGGCCUGCCUCGUUUGU
rnacentral:rRNA from 1 species